rnacentral:rRNA from 1 species
GACGAACGCUGGCGGCGUGCUUAACACAUGCAAGUCGAACGAAGUGGCGAACGGGUGAGUAACGCGUAAUCAACCUGCCCUUCAGAGGGGGACAACAGUUGGAAACGACUGCUAAUCCCGCAUACUGAAGGAGGGGAUUGCGUCUGAUUAGCUAGUUGGAGGGGUAACGGCCCACCAAGGCGAUGAUCAGUAGCCGGUCUGAGAGGAUGAACGGCCACAAUGGGACUGAAACACGGCCCAGACUCCUACGGGAGGCAGCAGGGGGGAAGUUUCCGCAAUGGACGGAAGUCUGGCGGAGCAACGCCGCGGGAGUGAUGACGGCCUUCGGGUUGUAAAGCUCUGUUAAUCGGGACGCGGUACCGGAAUAGAAAGCCACGGCUAACUACGUGCCAGCAGCCGCGGUAAUAC